AGUAUCGUGGUAUCGGUAUAGAAAGUAUCGAUGCCAAAAUACUCGAUGCUUUUGGCCGAUGUAUCGAUACCGUUGGCAUCGAUACUGGUAUCGCCUAUCCCCAAUAGAAGGCAUCGGUAGUAUCGGUAUCGUUUCAAAGUAUCGUUGGCAAAGUAUCGAUAUCGCUAUCGAUGCCAAAAUGAUCGAUACUUUAGCUCCAUGUAUCGAUACCGUUGGUAUCGAUACGAGUAUCGCCCAUCCCUACAGUUGACGAUAUUCGGCAGCAACGGACGCGAUAUGGAGAGCCAUCGUAAAAAGCGUCACGACCACGGGGAUGGCACCGCUGUCAGCUACCAUACGUUUGACGCGUUACCAACAUCACUGGCACUGGCACCCGAAAAAUGGUCAGUUUACCCUUAUCUUAUGUUGAUUCGGGCAAACCGACGAAAUGUUGACUGCAGUUAUUGACAGCAUAUCGGAUAAUUUUGAGCAAUUUCUCAAAAUUUUUGUAUGUAAUGUGAUAUUCUGAGUGAUAUUUUGUACAAUAAUUGUGCCCCAAAACAAAUAGAAGCAAAUUGUGACGGCGUAAAAGAAAGUUUUGUGAUGAACGGUACAGAAAAAGAUGUUCGUUACGCUUGAAGGCUACCAUACCAAUCCCUUGGUCACGACAGUACACUCUUUGUCUAAUGGUCAAAUAUUUGACCUUUUGACAUAAUGGUCAAAUUUAUUUGACAUCAUGGUUGUUGUUUCCCGCAUAAUCAAAAACCAUUGCUGAAGCGUAUCCUCAAAUAGGAUAAUGAGCACUGUUUGUCCACCACAACUUUAACGGUUGAAGCUCCAUCGAAAAACGAAGAGAUAUCUUCCAGUAAACGCUGUAGUCGCAGGUGUUUGUCAAACUAUAAUGAAAGUAUCUCCGAGCAGAACGAUGUUGAAGUCCACAUUGCACGACGACAAAUGCAAAACAGCGCCCCUCGCAGCCUGGAAGAAUACAAAUAUGACCAGUCACAAAAAGAAAUGUGCAAGAUGGCUGGCAAGUGAUGAUAUCUGCAGCUGAAAAACAAAAACAUGAUUUUGCAAAAAAUAAAGAAAUCGCCACUAACAAUCUUUAUAUUCAAAACAAUAUCACGACUAUUCCACGAACGAUUAUCAGAAUAUAAAUCAAUAUAAAUAUACCAUUCAUGAAAUGAUACCUGAACAACUGGAAACUACUGCAAAAUAACAUAUUUAUACUAUUUGAAGAAUAGUUUUAGUACAAAAUUUUGGAUUAUUAGUUUACCAUAUCGUGUAUAAUAUCGAAAAAAAUAUGUUCGGGAAAAUCGCUGUUUUUGAAUGGUAACCAUACCUAACGCCUAGUUCACCAAAUGGUUAUUUCUCAGUUUACUAUGAACUAGAUGGUCAAAACUGAAGCUGAUAUGGUAUGUAAAUGGUUAUGUAACUGUUUUAUAAAUGGUUAAGAUACUAUACGGAAAACAAUUCGUGUAUGGUAUUUGUUUAU